rnacentral:lncRNA from 1 species
CUGUCUCAGAUCACCUGUCCCAGGAUCACCUGUCCCAGGAUCACCUGUCCCAGGAUCACCUGUCUCAGAUCACCUGUCCCAGAUCACCUGUCCCACAUCACCAGUCCCAGAUCACCUGUCCCAGGACACCUGUCUCAGAUCACCUGUCCCACAUCACCUGUCCCAGGAUCACCUGUCCCAGAUCACCUGUCCCAGAUCACCUGUCCCACAUCACCAGUCCCAGAUCACCAGUCCCAGAUCACCUGUCCCAGGACACCUGUCCCACAUCACCUGUCCCACAUCACCUGUCCCAGGGUCACCUGUCCCAGAUCACCUGUCCCACAUCACCAGUCCCAGAUCACCUGUCCCAGGAUCACCUGUCCCAGGAUCACCUGUCCCACAUCACCUGUCCCAGGUCCAACCCCCCCGAAAAGCAGAGCCUGGAGCAGGAGGAGAGCGAAGCCGAACUCUUGAAACACACGGACUUGGGGGGGGGGGGAAGGUGGGGCAGUUUUUGGGGGGCCGGAGGGUCCCCCGGCAGUGCCGGUGCCAGGACGGACGGAUGGGGGGGGUCAGGAGUCCGGAAAGGGGGAUUUGGGGGGUCAGUGCAGCCGAGGAGCCAUAAAGUGCAGCAAAGCUUCCCGGAGCUCCGGGGGGCCGGGGGGGCCCGGCUCGGGCGGCUCCGGGUGCCCGGGGGGGCUCCAGUGUCCGGGGGGGCCGGGACACGCCGGGAUGGGGGGACAGGCACAGUCCGGGGGGACACGGCGGGGCCGGGGCAGCGGGGCCGGAGCCCAGCCUGGAUCCGCUCCUGCUUCGGGGCCGUUCCCGCUCCUUUCCCGGGUCUGUUCCUCGGCUCUAGGGCCGAUCCCGGCCCCGUUCCCGGGCCCGUUCCCGCUUUGGGGCCGCUCCCACUCCCUGCCCUGCUCCCAGUCCUGUUCCUGCUUUGGGGCCGGUUCUGUUCCCGGCUCCAUUCCCAGUUCGUGGCUGGUUUCAGGGCCGGUUCCGGCGCUGGUUCAGUUCCCAGUCCCGGUGCUGGUUCCAUUCCCAGUCCCCGUGCUGGUUCCAUUCCCAGUCCAAGUGCUGGUUCCAUUCCCAGUCCCAGU